rnacentral:rRNA from 1 species
CCUACGGGAGGCAGCAGUGGGGAAUAUUGGACAAUGGGGGGAACCCUGAUCCAGCGACGCCGCGUGAGUGAAGAAGUAUUUCGGUAUGUAAAGCUCUAUCAGCAGGGAAGAAAGAAAUGACGGUACCUGACUAAGAAGCCCCGCCUAACUACGUGCCAGCAGCCGCGGGAAUACGUAGGGGGCAAGCGUUAUCCGGAUUUACUGGGUGUAAAGGGAGCGUAGACGGUUACGCAAGUCUGGAGGUAAAGGCGGGGGCCCAACCCCCGGACUGCUUUGGAAACUGUAUAACUGGAGUGCAGGAGAGGUAAGUGGAAUUCCUAGUGUAGCGGUGAAAUGCGUAGAUAUUAGGAGGAACACCAGUGGCGAAGGCGGCUUACUGGACUGUAACUGACGUUGAGGCUCGAAAGCGUGGGGAGCAAACAGGAUUAGAUACCCCUGUAGUC